UCUGUGCAGGAGGCAGCCCCAGCCAGGAAACAGAAUGGACGUGAGGGUUCCCACUCAGCUCCUGGGGCUCCUGCUGCUCUGGCUCCCAGGUGUGACAUGUGAUAUCCAGAUGACCCAGUCUCCAUUCUCCCUGUCUGCAUCUGUAGGAGACAGAGUCACCAUCACUUGCCAGGCAAGUCAGGGCAUUAACAAUGAUUUAGCCUGGUAUCAGCAGAAACCAGGGAAAGCUCCUAAGCUCCUGAUCUAUUCUGCAUCCAAUUUGCUGAUGGGGGUUCCAUCUCGGUUCAGUGGCAGUGGAUCUGGGACAGAUUACACUCUCACCAUCAGCAGCCUGCAGCCUGAAGAUGGUGCAACUUAUUACUGUCAACAGGAUUAUAAUACCCCGUUCACAGUAUUACAAGCCAUAACAAAAACCCCCAGGGAAGCAGGUGUGUGA